CCUACGGGUGACAGCAGUGAGGAAUAUUGGUCAAUGGCCGGAAGGCUGAACCAGCCAAGUCGCGUGAGGGACGACUGCCCUAUGGGUUGUAAACCUCUUUUAUAGGGAAGAAUAAAUGCUACGUGUAGCAUGAUGCCUGUACCUUUUGCAUAAGCAUCGGCUAAUUCCGUGCCAGCAGCGGCGGUAAUACGGAGGAUGCGCGCGUAAUCCUGAUUUUUUGGUGUAAAAGGGUGAGUAGGCGGUUUGUAACGUUAAUGGUUAAACGUCGGGGUUUCACCUUGAGUUGCCAUUAAUACUGUAAGACUCGAGUUCAGACGAGGUAGGCAGAAUAAGAGAAGGAGCGGUGAAAUGCUUAGAUAUAACUUAGAACACCGAUAGCGAAGGCAGCUUACCAGACAGCGACUGACGCUGAAGUACGAGAGCGUGGGUAGCGAACAGGAUUAGAUACCCCUGUAGUC
rnacentral:rRNA from 1 species